GACGAACGCUGGCGGCGUGCUUAACACAUGCAAGUCGAACGAAGUGGCGAACGGGUGAGUAAUACGUGGGUAACCUGCCCUCCUUUUUGGGAUAAGCCUUGGAAACGGGGUCUAAUACCGAAUAAAGGGGGAUGGGCUCGCGGCCUAUCAGCUUGUUGGUGGGGUGAUGGCCUUCAAGGGCGGUGACGGGUAGCCGGCCUGAGAGGGUGGCCGGCGACAGUGGGAAUGUGGUGCGGCCCAGACUCCUACGAGAGGCAGCAGUGGGUGAUGUUGCGCAAGUGGCAAAAGCCUGAAACAGCCGAGCCUCGGGUAUGGAGAGGGCCUUGAGGUCGUAAAGUUCCAUCGAAAGGUGUCCGGUACCGGCAGAAGAAGCGCCGGCUAACUCCGUGCCAGCCGCCGCGGUAAUUC
rnacentral:rRNA from 1 species